rnacentral:rRNA from 1 species
UUACGGCCAUAUUACAUUGAAAUACCGGUUCUCGUACGAUCACCGAAAUUAAGCAACAUCCAAACUGGUCCGUACCUAGAUGGGUGACCUAUUGGGAAUAUCUGGGGCUGUAUG